UACGAAGGGGGCUAGCGUUGUUCGGAAUCACUGGGCGUAAAGGGCGCGUAGGCGGCUUUAUAAGUCGGGGGUGAAAGCCUGUGGCUCAACCACAGAAUUGCCUUCGAUACUGUAGAGCUUGAGACCGGAAGAGGUAAGUGGAACUGCGAGUGUAGAGGUGAAAUUCGUAGAUAUUCGCAAGAACACCAGUGGCGAAGGCGGCUUACUGGUCCGGUUCUGACGCUGAGGCGCGAAAGCGUGGAGAGCAAACAGG
rnacentral:rRNA from 1 species